rnacentral:rRNA from 1 species
UAUAAAGUGGCGAACGGCUGAGUAACACGUGGGCAACCUGCCCUUUGCACUGGGAUAGCCUCGGGAAACCGAGGUUAAUACCGGAUACUCCAUAUUUGUCGCAUGGCGAAUAUGGGAAAGCUCCGGCGGCAAAGGAUGGGCCCGCGGCCUGUUAGCUAGUUGGUGGGGUAGUGGCCUACCAAGGCAAUGAUGGGUAGCCGGGUUGAGAGACCGACCGGCCAGAUUGGGAAUGAGACACGGCCCAGACUCCUACGGGAGGCAGCAGC